ACCUUCAGGACAACCUCUGGAGCUUUUGAAAGGAGAAUUAACCAGUUAUUACAAAAAUAAAAGAGAGAGAGUGAGCGAGAGAAAGAUUGAUACAGAUGGCAGAUGAUAAGAGAAAUACAUUCAAGUGUUUCUACAUCAUUCUUCUUUUGGGUCUCAAUUCUCUUUUAAACUAUUCCUAUGAUCCAAGGAAAUCCGCUUGAACAUUAAUUUAAAAGUGAAGGAAGAAGAAGCCUCCAUGACAGAGGAGCAAUCCAAGCCUCUCCAGCAUGGCAGAUUUGGCCCAGGAUAAAGAAGAAUGGUGUCAUGAUCAGGACACAGUCAGGAAGGGCUGGGGGAGCUCCGGAACAAAUGCAGCAAAAUGCCGACAUCUGUUUUAUCUCAACAGUGGACUGUGCUUCUUUGGAGGUGAACUUGUGCUGAUACUUGAUGGGUCACGCAGACUUACAGUGAGAAACAGCUUCAGGAAAGUCAGAAGAGAAAUCCGAGCAAUAAUUAAAAACACACGGUAUUAGUCUGUUCCCAACGCUGCUAAUAAAGACAUACCUGAGACUGGGUAAUUUAUAAAGAAAAGAGGUUUAACGGACUCACAGUUCCACGUGGCUGGGGAGGCCUCACAGUCAUGGCAGAAGACCAAGGAAGAGCAAAGGGAUGUCUUACAUGGUGGCAGGCAAAAGAACAUGUGCAGAGGAACUGCCCUUUAUAGAACUAUCAGAUCUCGUAGGACUUAUUCACUAUCUUGAGAACAGCAUGGGAAAUACUCGCCUCUAUGAUUCAAUUACCUUGCAUUCCUGACCCAUGUAAAUCCCUAGUCUACAUUGCCCUGCAUAAUGGUCUUGUAGCAUUUUCUAGUUAUUACUGCUAUUUGUGAACACAUCUAUUCUCCUUAACUAUUAAUAGUAUAAACAAUUUG
rnacentral:lncRNA from 1 species